AGCUCAGGUGGUUAGAGCGCACCCCUGAUAAGGGUGAGGUCGGUGGUUCAAGUCCACUC
rnacentral:tRNA from 11 species